CAAUCCGUGAAUGACAGGUCACACCUUUGCACGUCAAGUCUUACAACGACAUGCACAGAACAAAGUCAAACACUUUCUAACGUGUCGGAUUACGUUGAACGCCGCUGUUGAAUCUUACGACCGGUUCCAUACACUCCUCCACAAACGAAAUUCCUGUGCUAAAUGUGUCCAAACUUAGGACUUUAUGGAUAGGAAUUUCAAGCGGACAGCCCCAGGACGCACAGACAGCCGUCAAGGUUCGACCAUAUCCUUCCGUCGGCAGUCCAUCCUACAAAAGGUGAAAAAGGGAAGGGGAAUAUCGGAACCCCUGGAUUCUUUUCCUCACUGGUAACCGUUGGUUUACCUGGCGCGUCGUCUCUUUGUCAAUGCCUUCGUUCAAAUGCUCCUUGCAGCAGCCGUCCUGAUUCACACAGCCCAAAAACUGCACGCACUAUAAAAACGUCUUUAACACCGCAUUCCUUCACAUCGCGUGAAAGACCCGAGUGAGACAGCAGCCCCAAGAAUCCUGGUUCGUUAGCACCAACCUGCUGUAGCCAGCUCCAACUUCAACGGCAAGCUCGUCCUUGCCACCUAGGGCACGCCUCUGGAAGGAAGAGCGUCGUUCCG
rnacentral:lncRNA from 1 species